rnacentral:lncRNA from 1 species
AGGCGGCUCCUCCGGGCGCGUUGCGCUGCGGGUUUCGCUGCGGCCUGUGGGCCCCAGGCCAAGCCUUCGUGCGCCCUAGCUCAGGAGGGCCCUCCUGGACCCUGGAGCGGACCCUCAUCGUGGUGAAGCCAGAUGGGGCACAGCGGCGGCUCGUGGGGGACGGGAUCCAGCGCUUUGAGAGGUGGCUUCACGCUGGUGGGGAAGGACGCAGGCGCACAGCGCGUCCUUGCCGGGCACCGCGAGGGCCCGCGAGGGCCCGCGGGGGAAGCCCUGCUACCCAAGGCCUGCGAAGGGUCCAGUGUGGUCCCGCGCCCCGGGACCAUACAGGGAGAUUUCAGCGCCCACAUCAGCAGGAACUUCUUCCAGGCAAGCAACUCCGUGGAAGGGGCUCGGAGAUGGAUCCCGCUGUGGCUCCCGAGCAGGGACCUGGUGAGCUGGGCACGGCGCCAGCACAGCCGCAGCCACCCAGCCU